rnacentral:lncRNA from 1 species
AAAAAAUUUGAUUCCAGUCCGAAACCCCUGUUCACGCUCUUCAAUUGGGCCCGGAAGCGGCCCGAUUACGGAUUCUCCAUCGAUGUUUUCAAUGCCAUGGUUGAUUCUCUCGGCAAAGCCCGAGAAUUCGACUCAGCUUGGUGCGUUAUACUUGAUCAGAUUGAAGGAGAUCCCAGCGAAAGACCUAAUUUCGAUACUUAUGUUAUCAUGAUUAGGAGAUACGCACGCGCAGGUAAUAUUUCAUUUGAUUAAGGGAUAUAGUUUUGAACACUCGUAGUAAUAAUCCAGCUCAGUUUGUAUCUAAUUGUAUCAAGCUCAGUUACUGCGUGUGUGUGUUCGCGCCAGCUUUCUUGCUGUAGGAUUCUGUCUGCCAGUGCAGGUGCCGUCGAGGUUGCAGUGGCCGGCGAGGUUGAGGGCAGGGGUUUGGCCGUUCAAGAAGGUGAAGAAGNUAGUCAACUAUUAUUUUUUAAAAUUUUCUGUGGGGCCCAUCUUCUUCACCUUCUUGAACGGCCAAACCCCUGCCCUCAACCUCGCCGGCCACUGCAACCCCGACGCCGGCACCUGCACUGGCAUCAGCGACGACAUCCGGACCUGCCAGUCCCUCGGCAUCAAGGUGCUCCUCUCCCUCGGCGGCCAAAUCGGCACCUACUCCCUCGCCUCCGCCAACAACGCCACCCAGGUCGCCGACGACCCAACCUUCGCCCGCAUUUCCAAACUCCUCCACAAUCCAGCCCUACAGCCCGGCCCCGACCUCGAAAAGGCCCUCUCCGAGGCGGAAAUCAAUCCAACUCCGGCUCUUUUACUCGGAAUCUUCAAAAAAUUUGAUUCCAGUUCGAAACCCCUGUUCACGCUCUUCAAUUGGGCCCGGAAGCGGCCCGAUUACUGAUUCUCCAUCGAUGUUUUCAAUGCCAUGGUUGAUUCUCUCGGCAAAGCCCGAGAAUUCGACUCAGCUUGGUGCGUUAUACUUGAUCAGAUUGAAGGAGAUCCCAACGAAAGACCUAAUUUCGAUACUUAUGUUAUCAUGAUUAGGAGAUACG